AUGAGGCCUGCCGCGCAGAAUAUUUUUCCGGAUGCCUCUCAACGUGUCGGCGACGGCGGCGAGAUUCGCCAUUUCGAAGACGAGUCGGGGACGAUGGAGCAGCCCGGCGAACUCUUCGACGACGUCGUCGCGGAAAUCCUCUUCCGCCUCCCCGCCCACGCUGUCCUCCGCUGCCGUGUAGUUUGCCGGCGCUACCGCCGCCUCGCCGACGAUCCGUCUUUCCUCGCCGCCCGCGCCCGCCACCUCCCGCUAGAGCUUCUUGUCUGCACCACCGUCCAAGAAUCGGGCAGCGCCCUCUGCAUCGCGCUGGACUCUGUCUUGGGAGCCGUCGCCUCGCCCGGUACCUGA
rnacentral:rRNA from 1 species